GAUUUCAAUUGAAAAAGUCAUCAACAACAAAGUCGAAUAACUCAUCAAGAUCUAAAACUUUUAUUUUUGUUAUUUCUUCAUCUGACGAAAUGUUAGUAAUAUUAUUCAUAAAUUUUACAUAUAUGUGUUAUAGUUUUAUAAAACCAGAUAAGAGAUAUGUCAAUUUUGUAAACAAUGUUACUAUCACUUUGUCGUAUGAAGAAAUGACUAAAAUAAAAGUUUUAGAUCUUGAUGAGUUAUUCACUUUGUUGUGAUGACUUUUUCAGUUGAUAUC
rnacentral:pre_miRNA from 1 species